GCCCUUGUGGUGAAAUUGGAUAUCACGAUUGGUUUCGGCCCAAUUAUUCUAGGUUCAAGUCCUGGCAAGGGCA
rnacentral:tRNA from 1 species